CCCUUAGAUGUUCUGGGCCGCACGCGCGCUACACUGAUGAAUUCAACGAGCUCCUAACCUAGGCCGAAGGGUCCGGGUAAUCUUUGAAAUUUCAUCGUGAUGGGGAUAGAUUAUUGCAAUUAUUAAUCUUCAACGAGGAAUUCCUAGUAAGCGCGAGUCAUCAGCUCGCGUUGAUUACGUCCCUGCCCUUUGUACACACCGCCCGUCGCUCCUACCGAUUGAAUGGUCUGGUGAAAUGUUCGGACCGCGACAAGGCGGACGGUUCGCUGUCAGCUUUGCUGCGGGAAGUUCAUUAAACCUUAUCAUUUAGAGGAAGGAGAAGUCGUAACA
rnacentral:rRNA from 1 species